UAUUAGAGAGACUCAUUUCUGCCCAGCAGGCUAGAGAAUGGAAGAAUGAGUUGUCUGACCACCACUGCCACAAUACGAGCCACCCCUACAACGGGAGGAUUUAGUGUCAUCUCGAUAUAAUCUUGUCCCUCCACUGUAUCAUCUAGCACCGCCAUAGUACAAUAUGGUGCCCCACCAUACAACCAGGUGCCACCACAGGGUCACCCAAUCCUUUUCCCUGUAACAUCUGGUCCCUCUUUCACGG
rnacentral:lncRNA from 1 species